rnacentral:lncRNA from 1 species
CCGCCCGCCGAUCGACACCGGCGCCGUGCUCCGCAGCAGGUACGCCUGCGUCACGUUGAUGGCCGAGUACCGGAAUGAGCCCUGCGGGUUGGGACGCGCCGCGCCGGCGCUCAGGUUCCACCGGACGGAGCGCGCCUGGUUCAUGGAGAAGGUCCGGUCGUCCCGGUCCUGGGGAGGGUCCGGGAGCGGGCCGGAGGCGGGGCCGCCGGAGUUGGAGUAGCGGAGCACGGCGACGCCGGUGACGCGGCGCCACAGGGACUCGUUCACCUGCCGGGCGCUGGCCACGAUGUAGUAGUCGGAGCUGGCGUUCUGGUCCGUGGUGACGAGGAAGGAGUAGGACUGGCCGACGUGGACGUCCAGGUUGGUGUAGUUCUGCUGCGUCGUGUAGGAGCCCUCCGUCUCG